rnacentral:rRNA from 1 species
UACGAAGGGGGCUAGCGUUGCUCGGAAUCACUGGGCGUAAAGCGCCCGUAGGCGGCUUUGUAAGUUAGAGGUGAAAGCCCAGGGCUUAACCCUGGAAUUGCCUUUAAGACUGCAUCGCUAGAAUCGUGGAGAGGUGAGUGGAAUUCCGAGUGUAGAGGUGAAAUUCGUAGAUAUUCGGAAGAACACCAGUGGCGAAGGCGACUCACUGGACACGUAUUGACGCUGAGGUGCGAAAGCGUGGGGAGCAAACAGG